CCCUCCCUUCUCCACGCCCCCCCCCCCCCUCCGCCAAGCCUUUGGCAUCAUUAUCCUCAUCACUAAAUCCUACAGAGACAGAGUACAGGGCGGAAAACGGUGCACAC
ensembl:misc_RNA